rnacentral:lncRNA from 1 species
ACACCCUCCCCCCACCGACCCCUCCCACUGAUCACGCCCCCCACCAACCUCCAGGAAGCACCCUCCCUACACCGACCCCUCCCCCACCAUCGAUCACUCCCCACACACAACGAGCCCUCUCUUCCCCUCGCUGAUCACUCUCGCCCCAACAGAGUUUCUCAUCCCGAUCGAUCCUUCUCCGCGCCCCCCAGCCCCUCAUCCCCGCCAAGGAACAUCCUUCUCCUCCUGACUCUCCUCCCCCGUUACACUCACACACAACCUCCACCCCCUCACUAACCCUUCCCUUCCUCCAUAAACUUCUCCCAUAGAACCCUUCCCCUCUUGAAUCCCUUCCCCUCCACUGAGCCCCCUCUCUCCCCAGCUGAGCCCCCUCCCUGUCCCCGGGGCCCCCUCUCCCCACUCUGUCCCGCUCCUUCACUGAACCCCCUCUCUCCCCAGCUGAGCUCCCUCCCUGUUCCCGGGGUCCCCUCUCCCCCCACUAAGCCCCCUUUCUCCCCAGCUGAGUCCCCUGUCGCCAUGCCCUCCUCCAGGCCCAAGGAGAGGCCCCCGCGCGCCCGGCCGGCCAGCAACUCCCCGUCCCCGGGCGCGCACGGCCGGCACGGCGGCCCUGAGGAGAAGAGCUCGUCGCGCAGCCCGGGCCCGCACCCCCGCUCGUGGAGCUCCAGCCGCUCGCCCUCCAAGUCCCGCUCGCGCUCCGCGGAGAAGAGGGCCCGCAGCCCCAGCCGCUCGCCGUCGCCCAAGAAACCGCCGGGCCGGUGAGUGCGGGCCCGGGUGGCGGCGGGGCCUGGCGGGGGCUCUGGCGCGCGCGGCGGUGGGGCAGGCCGGGGCGCCUCUCUCACCUUGGCCGGGCCCGCAGGGACAAGGACGGCGAGGGCCGCGCGAGGCACGCCGAGGCCGAGGCCGCCCGCGCCCGGCGCCGCUCCCGCAGCUACUCGCCCAUCCGCAAGCGGCGCCGGGACUCGCCCAGCUUCAUGGAGCCGCGGCGCAUCACCAGUGCCCGGAAGCGUCCCAUCCCCUACUACCGGCCCAGCCCCUCAUCCUCCUCCAGCUGCCUGAGCAGCGACUACUCAAGCCGCAGCCCCAGCCGCAGCCCCAGCCCCGGCCACAGCCACAGCCACGGAAGCUACAGCAGCCGCAGUCGUGGGACCCGCAGCCGCACUCGCAGCCCCUCCCGGACCCCCAGUCCCAGCUACCACAGCCGGAGCAGCUCAGAGAGCGGGGGCUUCUGAGCCCAGACACACACAGCUUGGUGCCCCCUGGCACAUGGAGAGGCGAGGAGUCAGGCCCCAGGACCGAGAGGGGCCUGCUCCCCACUGCUACAAAGAGGUCCCAGGGCCAGGGAAGACCUUGA